rnacentral:rRNA from 1 species
GGUUGACCCGGAUUGGAUCAGGUUGGGAUCCCGUGACUAACAUAUCAAUAAGC